rnacentral:rRNA from 1 species
AACGAACGCUGGCGGCAUGCCUAACACAUGCAAGUCGAACGAGACCUUCGGGUCUUGUGGCGCACGGGUGCGUAACGCGUGGGAACCUGCCCUUAGGUUCGGAAUAACUCCCCGAAAGGGGUGCUAAUACCGGAUAAUGUCUUCGGACCAAAGAUUUAUCGCCUAUGGAUGGGCCCGCGUUGGAUUAGCUAGUUGGUAGGGUAAAAGCCUACCAAGGCGACGAUCCAUAGCUGGUCUGAGAGGAUGAUCAACCACACUGGGACUGGGACACGGCCCAGACUCCUACGAGUGGCAGCAGUGGGGAAUAUUGGACGAUGGGCGAGAGCCUGAGCCAGCAGGGCCGCAUAGGUGAUGAAGGCCUUAGGGUUGUAAAGCUCUUUUGCCCGGGAUGAUAGUGACAGUACCGGGAGAAUAAGCGCCGGCUAACUCCGUG